GCUGUGCUGGACUUGGCCAAGAACCGCCCAAGAUGCAAGCCCUGGCCACCUUCCUGGACGACAAGACGUGGCUCACCGGUGACCACGUGACGCAGACACUUGUGUACACAUGACGCAGACACUUGUGUACACAUGACGCAGACACUUGUGUACACAUGACGCAGACACUUGUGUACACGUGACGCAGCGUGUGAGACUCCGCGCGUGUGUGACUCCGCGCGUGACCCAGCUCACCUACGUGGACCUGGUGCUCUACGAUGUUCUGGAUCAACAUCGGCUGUUCGAGCCGAGCCUCCUGCUCCCUCACCCCAACCUGGGCCAAUUCCUCCAGCGCGUCGAGGCCCUGGACAAGAUCUCUGCCUUCAUGAAGUCGAGCCGAAUCAUCCAAUCGCCCAUCAACAACCGUGCUGCAUCAUGGGGGAUCAAAAAGGAAUGAGCCAA